rnacentral:rRNA from 1 species
UUGACCUCGGAUCAGGUAGGGAUACCCGCUGAACUUAAGCAUAUCAAUAAGCGGAGGAAAAGAAACCAACUGGGAUUGCCUUAGUAACGGCGAGUGAAGCGGCAAUAGCUCAAAUUUGAAAGCUGGCACCUUCGGUGUCCGCGUUGUAAUUUGUAGAGGAUGCUUCGGCGAGGACUCCUGCCUAAGUUCCCUGGAAUGGGACGUCACAGAGGGUGAGAAUCCCGUAUGUGGCGGGCGGUCCAAGCCAUGUGAAGCUCCUUCGACGAGUCGAGUUGUUUGGGAAUGCAGCUCUAAAUGGGAGGUAAAUUUCUUCUAAAGCUAAAUACCGGCCAGAGACCGAUAGCGCACAAGUAGAGUGAUCGAAAGAUGAAAAGCACUUUGGAAAGAGAGUUAAAAAGUACGUGAAAUUGUUGAAAGGGAAGCGCUUGCAACCAGACUCGCUCGCAGUUGCUCAGCCCGCCUCUUGGUGGGUGUACUCUUCUGCGAUCGGGCCAGCAUCAGUUCGGGCGGCUGGAUAAAGGUGUCGGGAAUGUAGCACCCUUCGGGGUGUGUUAUAGCCCGGCGCGGAAUGCAGCCAGCCUGGACUGAGGAUCUCGCUUCGGCAAGGAUGCUGGCGUAAUGGUUGUAAGCGGCCCGUCU